UUGAUCCUGGCUCAGAACGAACGCUGGCGGGUGCUUACACAUGCAAGUCGAACGGGAAACGUCCUUCGGGAACCGAGUACAGUGGCGCACGGGUGAGUAACACGUAGGUGACCUACCUAUCGCUGGGGAACAACCCCGGGAAACCGGAGCUAAUUCCGCAUACGCUUUCCAACUCGCGGGUUGGAAAGGAAAGAUGGCCUCUUCAUGAAAGCUAUCGGCGAAUGAUGGGCCUGCGCGUCAUUAGCUUGUUGGUGAGGUAACGGCUCACCAAGGCUGCGAUGACUAGCUGGUCUGAGAGGAUGAUCAGCCACACUGGCACUGGAACACGGGCCAGACUCCUACGGGAGGCAGCAGUGGGGAAUAUUGCGCAAUGGGCGAAAGCCUGACGCAGCGACGCCGCGUGAGUGACGAAGGCCUUCGGGUCGUAAAAGCUCUGUCGAGAGGGACGAAACACCGGUGGGAACAAUACCUCGCCGGUUUGACGGUACCUCCAAAGGAAGCACCGGGUAACUCCGUGCCAGCAGCCGCGGUA
rnacentral:rRNA from 1 species